CCUACGGGCGGCAGCAGUUAGGAAUAUUGGGCAAUGGACGAGAGUCUGAACCAGCCAAGUAGCGUGAAGGAUGACUGCCCUAUGGGUUGUAAACUUCUUUUAUAUGGGAAUAAAAUGUUCCACGUGUGGGAUUUUGUAUGUACCAUAUGAAUAAGGAUCGGCUAACUCCGUGCCAGCAGCCGCGGUAAUACGGAGGGUCCGAGCGUUAUCCGGUUUUGUUGGGUUUAAAGGGAGCGUAGGUGGAUUGGUAAGUCAGUUGUGAAAGUUCGCGGCUCAACCGUAAAAUUGCAGUUGAAACUGGCAGUCUUGAGUACAGUAGAGGUGGGCGGAAUUCGUGGUGUAGCGGUGAAAUGCUUAGAUAUCACGAAGAACUCCGAUGGCGAAGGCAGUUCACUGGACUGCAACUGACACUGAGGCGCGAAAGUGUGGGUAUCAAACAGGAUUAGAUACCCUGGUAGUC
rnacentral:rRNA from 1 species